AACUAUUUUUAAAAUUUUUAUUUUCAAAUUUUUAAUAUUUAUUGUUUAUUUUAUAAAAUUUUAAACAUCAAUUUUAAAUCUCCACCCUUUAACUCUAAACCCUAAAGUUUGGAUUAGUUAACCUAGGAGUAUAAAUGUAUAUUUAACUCUUUAAUGAAACAUUUUGAUUCUUAGAGUCUAUAUUUGUGACCAAAAUUUUUUUAGAACUAUCUUUGGGUAUUUUCCUAUUUUAUAUGUUAGAAUGUUAUCGUUUUGUUUUGUUUUUAAUUUAUACAACCUAAUAUAAUAUACUAAUUAUAUUUUUUUUUAGGAGGUUAGGGUCGAAAUCCAUAAUCAAUUCGGACCCAAAAAGACCAAAACCAUAACAUGUAAUGUUAGUUUUGUGACUUUUGAGCUAGUGACCUCUUGUCUUAAUAUACUAAUUAUUAAGUGUUGAAAUCUUUGCUUUCGACUUAGUCACUAAGAUAGAUUAUAUAUUUUUGUUUUUUGUGGCCUUGUUGAAAUUGAUUUCUAGUCAUUCCAUUUGGUGAAAUGUUUUAAUAACUACAUUAUAAUAUUAUAUGAUGAGAUCUUAGUUCAAAAAAAAAAAAAAGAGAUGAGAUCAUGGUGUUUUAAAUAAUUGAAUUCAUGUCUUUGCGUUUUGAGUCUUAAGGUCGAUCGUUUGAACUGAUUCCAUUACCUCGUAUUGAAUGAUCUUAGGCUUUCAUCCUUAUCAUUCAGAAACCAGUUCUUAGCUUCUUACAACAUCCACCUCACAACAUUUUCAAACAAAAACACAAAGGCAGACUCCUCCUUCUAUGGCUGUAACUGAAAUGUAAUUUUGUGGAAUAGAUUUGUUUGGAAUACAUCAUUCCAUAACAUUCCAUAAAAUAUUUACCAGUUACAAUGAAUACCAUUCCAAAACAAUUCAAAAUAUUCCAUUUUUGAAAUGAAACAAAAAUGAAAUUUUUUUGUAAAAUUCAUUAUUUUUGUUCCACAAAAUAAACCUUCGUGAAUAAAUAGAAUGAAUUGAAUAAAUAAUUUCAUUAAUAAUUCAGUUUCAAUUCUAUUUUAUUCAUCGUUCCAUUUUUUCUUAUUCCAAAAAUAUUUAUUCUUUUUAUUCAUAACAUUCCUACUAAAAAAAACUAAUUACGGCCUAUGUGUUUGACCCAAUUUUAAGCCUCCUGGAUCAUUUAACGACCAUAGUCAGUGUCACUCCAUCGCCGAUAAAGACUAAAUGUUAACUUACUACCUCAUAAUCCCCAAAUUUUUAUUUAAUAACUUACGACCAUAGUCAGUGUCACACACAUAACAUAAAGAUUUUUUUAUUUAUUUAUAAUAUUUACGUUAAAUAACUAAUUAAGAAGAUCUUAUUGUUACAGUUACAUUUUAACAAAUAUUUUUAAAAAAAUAUUACGUAACUGACCAUAAUUUUGUUAACAUGUAUUUAUUUAUCACACAGAGCGUUGGUUAUAAACUCUUUUGUAACAUAAGUAAAAAACACAUAUAAAUUUGACACUUGGGAACAAACUUUACAAUAACAACAAAACUCACAAAAUAGCAGAUUGAUUUCAAUAAUUCAGAAACAUUUUAUUGAACUUCCUGGAAAAACAUGAAGACCAGCACUGCUUUGAUUUUAACUUUUCUUGCUUUAUCAUGUAUCAUAAAUAUGGCAGAAUCUAAUUCUGAAGAGAGAACCCAUUCUUCCAGUCCAGCGGCAACUCCUCAAACUGAUUUUCCAAUAAGAGAUCUUAUAUUUGAUAGUAAAAGAGCGGACAUACUUGCCCAUGAUUUGUGUGCUGAAUGUAUGCAUCGUUGUCUUAGAAAGAAAAGAUAUAUGCGUUAUUGUAAAAAUCGUCAAUGUUAUUGUGAUUAUAGUAGGUACGUAAGACCAUAUCGUCCAUGUGUUUCCUCACCAUCCAUAAAAUAAAGAUAAUAAAGUUAAUUUUGAAUAAACCUAAUUUUUUUCUUUCUAGGUAUUUUAUUUAUCUGUACUGUCCAUAUAACAUAUAUGCAUUGAACAUAAAUUUAAUACAAAAUCGGUCGGCAUAACAAACCGAACUAAUUUUACAAAAACAAUAUGAUAUAAACCUUUUGAUUAUACUUUAAAAUAACUUUUAGCUGUUCAUUUAACACAUUGAUACGACUGCAUUCAACUGCUUAGUAACUUGUUACAUCUCAUUAGAUACACAAAAAGCUAUACAAUAUGUAUAUGUGAUGUUUAUUAUUAGGUUUUUGGAGACUAGAUUAUUUUUCAUUCCUUUCAUAUGAAUUCUUAUUUUGAUAAAGAUUCUGAAACAAAUUGCAAUUGUACACAACUUGAUACAUCACAGUUACAGAAAAGAAUAUUGAGAGCAGCAUUUGACUGCAUCAAUUCAAGAAUCAAUAAUUGUUUCACCAG